ACGUGGCGGAAACGCUCGUCGCCGUUUAAAACUC
rnacentral:sRNA from 1 species